GGGGUGUUAUGUUUGCGAUCUCUGCCUUGGUACCUAAGGAGGAAGAGGAGGAGGAGGAGGGUGUGUUACUGAAUGGUGGCUAAAGCCUCCUCGGGACGGCGCUGAGGUGAAACAGGCUGAACCCGACUGAUGUGGCUCCUCUCUCGGUUGGACCCAGUGCCCUAAGCAGCCGAUGAGAGACCCCCGGCCGCCCGGCUCGCAGUAGUCUGAUAAUUAUGUAAGAACAUGACGAAACUCGAGAGGAAGUAGAACCAUGUGAAGCAGAAGGAAGUGUCCUCACUGGUAAAGAUGAGGUAUCUUUUUAAUGCUGAAAUGGACACAGUAAUUGUGAACCGUGUGGUAAGGAGCUCUUUCUAAAAUAUGCAGUAACGUAUUCACUGGAAUUUAACAGCCUGUGUACUUCAAAGCUUCUCUUGCCUGUAAUCACGUGAACAAACCUUCCAAGUCGCUUUGCCAGCUCGAGAUUUGUCAGAGCACUAACACAGCGUUGAAGCAGCCCCUGCCACCAGGCAAGGUACAGAAGGGAGAUGGUGACCUGCAACAGGAUGAGAGACCUCACUUACCAGGAUUGGCUCACAGUUAUGCUUCUGGCAACUGACAUUUCCAUUUUGCUCAAAGCUUCAACAUCGUGUCAUCAGACAAAGCCCCGUGAGUGGUGGCAGAGCAAACUCUAGCCUUCAUUUUCAAGUUUGAAGAGAAAAAAUUAUUUACAUGUCUAAAUCCCAGAACCCGCUGUUCACAAGUCACUUUUUGUUGCCCGCUGCUAUAAGCCAUUAAGGCUUCCAAAAGCUCUAAAAGAAAUGGGACAUGGUUUGGGGCAGAAAAAUCUAACUGUUUUAAAUUUGUUUAAAUUCUAUUUCAUUGUGUUAUGUGAAUUUGUCCUACCAGAGAAACCUGGAAGAUGGAAUGUUUCUGUCAUUCCUUACAAUGAAUGAUAGCUUAAAGGGACGGUCAGAGCUUGCAAGACAAAUCUUUGAUCCUCCUUAAGAUUGUUAUAAACUGAAAGAGAAUAUCUUUUAAUUCUUUAGGACUUCAGACUAAUUUUUAAGGAAAAUUAUUGAUUCAUGCAAUGAAUUUUACUGUUUUAUCACACUUCCAAGUCAGUAUUUAUAUAUCUUUUUGGUUAUGAAAAUAGGCAGAUGUUUAACUAUGUGUUCUAAUAUUGCACUGGGCUUUGGUUUUUUUUUUUCUUUCCUGUUUUAGACAUGUUUUCCUGAAUCAGACCCUUGAAUUUAAUGACAAUUAGUACAGUUUCCAGAAAUUUAUUUUCAUCUUAAAGAAUCUAUGUACCAAGUGUGGAAAUGUAGAUGUUAAGGGGGAGCACAAGUAACGACUUUUUUUUUCCAUUCACAGAGGAAACACUAAGACAUCAAGGUUAUUCAAGUAGCCUGGAAAGUUACUAUUUUUCCAAACUGCAAGAAGAUCUCAGAAAUAAUAAGGAUAACAUUAAAACAAAAAUCUAGAGAAAUUGUUUAAUUUUCUUAAAAAAAAUAUUGGAACUUGGAAAAAAAAAAGGCAUUUCACAGUGAAGAAAAUCUUCAGGCAGAGUUCAGGCAGAGUUAUUAGACACAGUGUUUAGGGUUGCUUGAAAGAAUCAUUCCAGGUACUGUUCUUUGCUGCUACUGCAGAAGUGUGUUGGGCAUUUAAUCUGUCUUAAUUGCCAUAUCUGCAAAUAGAAGAUAAUAAUGCCCACUUCUGUCUAGUGUUGUGCAGUCUCUAGAAGUUUCACAGCAAGAGAAAAGUGUUUCAUAGUGUAGGUAAAAUUGCCUGUUGGACCUUUUAUUUUAAAAUAAAAGUUUCAGCUACAGAUCCUGAAAGAAUGGAUUCCCUAAGGGAUUGUAGCCAAAGUUUAGGUGGGGUGUUUUUUUGUUUUGCAUUUUUUUUAUUUAAGCUGUUUAAUUGACUGAUUUUUGGCAUCAUCUCUGCAGCAUGCAGGUCUCUGGAGACUGAUAGAAAUUAGGGUUGCUGUGAAUAAAAAAACCUUCUUUCGAAGAUCCCAUUAUCAUCAGAAUUCUGUUAUCACAAAAGUGUACUUGGCAUUAGCAUGGCCCAUGUUUUGUAUUUCGACUACUAAACUUUCAGGGACAUCAUUGUCUAGCUAACAUCUUAAAUGCUAUAGCUUUCCCAUUAGAUAAGCAGGCUGAUUUCAUUAGUAUUUCUUGAAAGAACAAGGCAGGAAAAAAAAAAGACUUGGGUGGUUGUGAAUGUCUUGUAGAGAAUUUUGGUGGCAUAUGGCCGUACAUAUUUUAUGCUACAGGAAGGAAAUUAGUGGAAUUUGUAGAAAACCUAUAUAAAUGUAAAAUGCAACAAGCAAACAGUCUUUCCACAGAUUAUACUGGCAGUACUGAUCAUGUCUACUUUGACAAGAGGCAAGGAGUAUGCUCAGGAUGGUGUGUCUCCUGGCUCCUGCUCCAUGUUGCCAGCCUUUAGCCCUGCUUGAGACUGUGCUGUUGGGUCUGCCAACAGCCUGGAUUGCUUACCCUGUGUGUUUUAGAAACAGGAAAUCUAAGGGCUGUCCUAGGACGUGUGACAUCGCCAGAUCUAAGGGCUGUCCUAGGAUGUGUGAAAGGAUGUGCCAGCAAGGUGAGUGGCUGGUUGUCACCACAAACCUAUGCAAGGGGACUGUGGAGAAGAUUUCUCUUCUCACAUAUCCUAAGCUACAUCCUAGGCUUGACGCAGAGUGUAGCUUUGUGCUCCUGCAACCAGUCUUGAAAUAUGUUCUGGCCUGUAACAAGGGUCCCAGUUUAUAAGACUGGAGACAUAAAACCCAAUAAUUUGAUUCCUGUUUAAAACUUUCAGCAUUUAGGGUAGAACAGACAAUUAACCAGUCAAAUCCAGAACUAAAAUGUUUUAUCAGAAUAUCAAAAUUAGGAAUGCAAAUUAGAAAUUUUUCUUUUUAGAUUAUCAGUGAAGUGACAAUAGUGUCUGUUACCUGCAGUUUUGCCAGUGGUAGGUGCCAGCUCACAGGCUGAAGAGCGUAUGUAUGAAAUGCUUGUCAUAUCACUGACACACUCUCACAAGAUGCCACCAAAGGGAUUUUGCUGUACUGCAAAAUAAGAAACCUUAAUUACUAUAUGAUAAAAACAGAUGUGUUAUACUUGUUGGUAAAUUAAAGAUUAAAAUAGAGAUUAACGUUUGAUAAUAAUCUUUCAUUUUUUAUCUGUCUUUAAUUAAACUCAGAGUGGUUUAAAUAUAUAGGGGCAUCUCUUGGGUUUAUGUUUUAGUUGUGAAAAUGACUAAUUUGUGUAUGUUGUUAUUUAAAGUUACUUUAAUUGCAGUACUUGCAUAAGUUCAAGAAGCAGAAUUUCAUUCCAUCUGGUGAUUACUUAUUUAUUUUCACUAAUCAUACAGCCAAAAAUCAACAAAUUAAAAAAAUAAUUACUGAAAACUUGAUUGAACAUAAUAGAAAAUAUGUAGAAAAUACAAGUAAUAUGUGACUAAAUGUGUCCAUAUGGAGCCUGAAUAUUUCAACACACUUCAAAAAAUUAAUGAAGAAAACAGAUAGGGAGCUACAAAUGCAGUGAUUUCCCCAAGAAGCCUAUAUUUCCUACUAUUUCAACUGGUUUAUAUAUCAAGAGUAGACAUAUAUAAACUGCUUUUGAAGCUAUUUACUUUUAUUUUUUUAAAUUCGUGUAUUAUGUGUACUUACUGAGAUUGAAGCUGUUUAAUUUCACUCCACUGUGAAUCUGUAGCCCAAGUUAAAUACUCAGGAGACCUAGUAUGUAUGUUAAUUUAGUGAUCAAAAAAUGUUUCCAGUUGGUCAUAUUAUGUCCAGCAGUAAAACAUUUUCAGACUUAAGGAGAUACAUGACUCACCUAAGGAAGAGGUAUGUUAAACCAUUUACAGGCUGGUCACUUUCCAAAUCAUGAGUCCUAUCAUUCUGAUACCUUUAAAAUCCACUAAGGUGACUAGCAGAGAAUUACUCAGGAGCCUCUCUAAAUCAACAGCAAGCCUACAAAUGUACCCCUCUGUAGUGUGAAAUGACCACUUUGUCUCCUGUCCUAGACAUGGAAGCCAUUUUGAAGUCUUAAUAAUUUGGUUUACCUCCAAUACACUAAAAUUCAGAGGGAUUUAUACUGGUACAAUAUAUGAGAUUACAUCAGAAAAAAGUGGCUUUGCUGCAUCGUUACGGACACUAAGACUACGUAAACAACAGGUUGCAAAACUAUUCUUUUAAAACUUCAGUGGUAUGCGAAUGUGCACAUGUGCACAGCAGAUCACGAGUUAUUGCAGUAGAGGCAGCCUCUGCUUCUGCUAUAUAUUUUCCCAACUGAUAUGCUCUUUUUAUUUUUUUUUUUUGAAGUUGUCAUAUGGUAUAACACUUUUACUAGUUGACUCCUCCCACUUUUCUUCAAACCACAUCCUGAUUUUUGGCCUCAGAAACCAAACAUAUGCACAACUUGCAGAACAACACAUGAUAUUGUUUCUGUAUAACAUCAUACCAGCUGGGAUAUAAAUUCUUACAGACAAUUUUAUGUGAAUGAAAAAUACCUACAUAAAGACAUUUUCCAUAGUUAUGCAAUACAUAUCACAGUAGAGCAUAUGGUCUUGAGCCAGAGAUCUUCACAUAGAAUUAUAACAAAAGCCCCAAAUCAGGCCACAGAUCUUCAGAAAAUGUAAUUUUGAAGAGAUCAUUCUAAUUUCUCACUAUUUUAUUUCUUCCUUUUUCUAUUCUCUUUUGGAUUUCUGAAAUCCAACCUCAGCUAGUUUGUGGGCAUGUUGAAGACCCUUAAAUUUUAUCAAUUUCAUUUAUUUGGUGUCAAGUCCAAUAAAAUUGUUAUUUAACUAAGGAAAAGAUAAUUUAUGGUGAAAUUUUAACUGGUACCAUGAUUUGAAAAUAUGCCAAUAGGCAGAAUUCAUUGUUUUUGGGGAAUUUAUUUCAACAUUCAUUUUCAUUAGUAGAAAAAUGUUUUAUUCUUGAUUUUUCAGUGUUCAACUUCCAGAAUGUUGUUUUUUUUUAAUUUUGGGGGAUGGUUGUUACAUUAUUCUCCCUUCAGAAUAAACAGUCUGCAUAUGAGAGUUUUCUCCCAUGAUCUAUAAACUUUAAUCAAGUCAUUCUCAGCCCUCCUUUUUGAUAAUCAAAGAGAUCGAGUUUAUCUUUUCACAGCAAAUAAUUUUCUUCUGCUCUCAAAUUAAUUUUAAAUGCAAUUUUGUGAACUCUCCAUUUUUUUCCCACCAUUCUCAUUAAAAUAUGGACAGCAGAUCUGUGGGAAUUAUUCCAACCGUUGCAUCAGGAUUCAAGGAUUACGUUAGCUCUGUUCAUGCAACUUCACAGUGGGAGCUCAUGUUGGUCCACUAUGGCCCAUAAAUCCCUGCAGAGUCAAGGCAUUCCAAAUCACUGUACCCCCUUUUUUGGGGGGUGAAUUCCAUUUGUAUUAUGUUUAACUGUGCAUUCAUCUCUUCUAAAAUGCUCAUUUUUGCAUUGGGUCUAGCUUGUAAAGAGAUCUCCUCUUCCUUGGUCUCAUAAUUAUGUACUAGCCGAGUAAUCUUUCUGUCAUCUUCAGAUCCUUAGCAUGGCAAUUUGCAUUUGCACCUCUGGAUCACUGCUGGGAAUACUGACUACCAUUGGGCCCAGUACUGAUGCCUGCUAGAUACCAUUAGAAAUAAUUCAAUAUUAAAUUUCUUUUUAAUGUAUCUUUUGGUGAUCUGCUGGCCAGCUCUUAAUUGAAAUUGUGUACAUUGAUGCUAUGUAGCAGAUCUUUUAUUUUCUUAAUAAAGUUAUCAUGCAGUAAUUACAAACUUUCAUUAUAUAUUUAUUGAUUAAACAAAGAGAAGAUAAACAUCCCAUGGACAGGUGAAAAAAAUCUGUAGACCACGAAGCAGACAAAACACUCGGGAUUAAUAUUCUUCAAUUUUCUUGCACAUGUAACUUUAUUUCACCACUUCAAAAUAUUUCAUAUAUAGAUAAUACUGUUUAUGUUUCAGAAUCGGAGGGAUUCUGAUUUGCCUGACAUGUCUAUCUUAGAAUGUGUAAGGGCUUUCUGAAUUUGUUGAAACCGCCUCUGGGAAGUUUACAGAACUAAUGGCAGACACUGAUGUAUGCACUUUCUUCAGUUGUUUUUAAGAUGUUUUGCUAAUAGUUUAGCUCUCAGAUUGGGUAAUGUAUUUUCUGUAAUUUGCCACAAAACCAAAAUUCAUAAAAUUAAAUUCUAAUUCUUAAUCCACGCUUUGGCAUGGAAAACCUUGUAUUCAUUUCUGUCUGUAAAAGUGACAGCACUGCGUCUGAUAUGUUCACAGAUAGAGGUACAUCCACAAUCCUCCCAAAACUCUACUGGUGUCAUAGCUUCCCUCCUUCCCACUCCCCAGUAUUUAAUGAAUUUGGUUAAUGUGCCAGAAAGGUGUUUGCAUUUUUCCAAGUAAAGAAAAAGAAAGGGGUGAACUUUAAAAGGAGGAAACUAAUUUAAAAUUUCUCCCUUUCUUUCUUUGGACCCUUUUCCCUUCCAGAAGAAGGUUCUGGUGAAAUUUGUCAGAACAAAGUUUCCAAGCAGUUUAUUUCUUUUUAAGUAAAUCUAAGGCUUUUGUAUUUAUUGGACUUUUCUGUCUUUUUGUAAGUUGAAUAUCAUAGCUAAUAGCACAGCAAUAAUUACAUGUCAUUCUCUUUAUCCUCUUUGUGCACUGCCAAUCUGCAAAGGUGUCUCAUUUCACACAUCAUUUGUGAUGUCCUCUGGUAACCACAUAUUUUGGGGAAUAGCUGGUGAAUGUAGUCAUUAAUCUCCAUUUUAAGAUGUGUAGUUCCAGAUUCCCAUUCUGUAAUUGUUCUAAGCAGACUUCUUGGUGUAGUAAAUGGGUCAGCAAGACUAUGCUCAGAUCCCAGGAGACAGACUACAGGUAACUAAACUAAACUGCAGGACUGUAGGAUUUCCCAGUCCCUCAGCUGGGCUACACCGGCUGUGGCCCAGGGUAAGAAAGUGAGUUCCUCUAUUUGUCUGCAAUUAGUGGGAGUUGGGGUUCAUGGGAUACUCCAGACAGUCUUCCCUGGAGAGAAAGAAAGUUAUUCUGAUGGUCCUAUUCCAUUCAAGACAGCCAGCACAAAGGAACACUGUUAAUUCCUACUGAGGCAAAGCAGCCUCAAGUCAACAGUGAUCCAGACCCCACUUCAACACAGAGACAGCUUGUGAAAUUGAAAAACAGGAACAAAACAAAAAGUACUAUACGUGUCUGAGAAAUCUUAUCAACCCUGGCAGAUAUAUUUAUUGCUCACUGAUGACUGAGAAUCUCAUCUUGCCCAGGGAUUAGUUGUGAGUUACUAAUGGAGUAAAAAUGUGGGGUGAGCAGAGAAUGACAGUCUAUGGCUGAUUACUCUGAUGUCAUGCUUUGGGAACGGCAGCCAGAAAUGUGCAACUCAUUCUGUCUUUAGAAUCAAAGGCACCUAAUUACAAUCUCAUUUUGUUAAAACAGAGUGCUAAUGACUUGCUUGUGCAGUAGCUGGAUACCAUAUCAACUGCCACAUAAGCUCAGUUUUUCCAUUUUAACAAUCCCAGUUACAGUAUCCGACUGCCUGUGCAUAAACAUUUGCAAGUUGUUGCUGUAGGUCUGGAGAGGAGGCAUGCAGCAGUUUCCACUAGGCAGGGAAAGCGAAAGGAGGAACUGGUAGACAGACUUUGUGCUAAAAUGUUCUCACUUUAGAAGAGCUGUUUUGACUAAUUUAUAAAAAUUGUUAAAAAUCCAACCACGAUUGAUCAGGUCAGAGUAUUCUGUGGUACAACAACACAGAUUAAAUCACGUUCUUUCUUGUAAUCUCCUCUUCCCAGUUCUUUUUAAUCUUUGUAAUCUGUAUUUUUUUACUGGUACUCAACUGUUUGUACCUUUGAACUCUUUUUAUACUCAGGUUGCUUCUGCAUGUUUGCUACAAGUUAUGUACCAUCUUCCUAAACUUUAUUACAAAAUGUGUAUAUACACAUUUUCAGAGCUCCCACUACUUGCAAAAUCUUAUUUUGUGUUAAGGGUUACUUCUAAUAUCUUCAAAGCACCCUUUUGAGAGCAAAUGUAUUGUUAAAUAUCAAGGGUACCUUGUUUUGUUCCCUACGUAUCCCUUUCCUUCAACAGGUCCUGAAUUAAACACAUGUAUGCAUGACGUGCAUUGAUAUUUUCAAUUAUUUGAUCUUAUUCUAUGAAAUCUCUCUCAGCAAGUUCUGCACAUUUUAAUCUGUUAAUUAUAGCAAAGUCUGUACUAUUAAAUAUUUAUCUGAAAGGAAUUCUCUGAAAAUGCAGAAAUGAAGAUAGCUUUCUAAGGAACUGUGGGUUUUUGGCACACAAUGAGGACGAACUUUAUACCAAGCCACAUUUUUCACAUGACAUUAAAGGGCUCUAGAGUUUGAUAAGUUUGGUUUUCUCCUACAUGUCUGAUGCAAUCUACUGUAUGUAUAUAUAUGUAUAUAUGUGUAUUUGUCAGUAUGCUCUUUCUUUGAAUGUGAAUUGCAAUAAUUCUUUCACUGUGGUUGGUACUGUGAUGGUGCCCAUGCCUCUAAAUCUAUGUAACUGGUAUUUUUUCGAAGUUCAUAGCACUUGUGUCCUCAGGUCUCUGCCACUUGUUUUCAAUAACCUUUCAUGUGAAGUAAUGAUGCUCUAAGCUAUUGUGUCAAAUAUCAGAUGGGAUCUCAAGAAAACAAUGUGUGUUUCAAACUAUUUACACUCAGGUGGUAUUCAGAGGAGAACUAGAUCUGUAAUUAUUACUUUUAAGAAGCAUGGAAGACAGCCAGAAGAGUUGAAAUGGGAGCCCUUCCAAGUAUGUAUCCUGAAGAAGCAAAAGGGGCAAUAAUAAAACUAAAUUUCCCCCUGUAAAGAGAAAGGUUUUUGGAAGGAUGAACUCAUUAGCUAGGUGCUGGGGGCCAAGUAAUUCUCUACUUCCUUCUCAUUACUUCCAGGCCAUGACCAUGUUCUAACUAUAUUCCAGAUCAGAACACUACCUGGGAAUAUUAGUGAGCUGGAAAAGAAACCAGUAAAACAGUUAUGGUCCCAAUGUUAGUAUGAAAAUCAGGACCAUGAUCUUUUAACUGCUCCAGUAAAAAGUUAUGUCACUUGUAAUUUCGACUUCUUGGAGAUGCCCAGCAGUCAGAGUUUUCCACAAGUUCACAUUCAGUUCUACUGGAUUAAAAAAUCAGGAAAAAGCUCUGAUGAGCUCCAUUUCUAUACCUUGCUUGGGAAGAGAUAUUUAAAAAGCCAGCCCAUUCCUCAGUCUCUGCUAAGUUCUGAUCUAGGUUGAGGUUUACUGACAUGACUUGGCACUAGUUCUUAAGCUGUUUGCCAGCUGUUUGUAUUCAGUGUAUUGGGUAUCACUGCUGUCUCCUCCUUUCCUAACUCUCCAAGAGAGUCUUCUGGUGACUAAAUCCUAGAGGGAUUCUCUACCCUCUGUCCUUGGGAGCAGGGCAACAGAGCAAGGGCAAGCUGUAGCAGAUUGUUGCUCUUACUCCUCCCAAUGUUGUAAGUUAAAACAAGAAUAUGAACCACUGAUAUGACUUCAUCCAUCAGACCACAAGCGAAGCUGAGUCAGCAAGUGGUGAAGAAAACUACAUGUAUUCAUAGUGAAUGAGCAACUAUUUCUUUUUCAUGAAAUGUUUGUAGCUAAUCAGCUCAAAUAGCUACGUAUCCAAUAAAUACAAGCUGCCAAAAAAGCGCACUUGGAUGGUACAUUUGGCAGUGCUGAACAACUCUCAAAGCGUAUUAGAUGUUCACUGUUUAAGUCAAUAGGCUAAGAUGUAAAAUUAAAAAAAAUAUUUUGAUUUUUUUUCAUACUAAGCCUGCUUUUAUUCAUAACCAAAUUUAGUUCCACUGAUUUCUAUAGAGGUGAGGGUGGCAGGAACUGAAUCCAAAGUUAAGCAUUUAACUAAUUCUUUUCAUAUAUCUUAAUUUUUUCAUAUGUUCUAAUUAUGUCCCUAAGCAUUUCUUUGUUGUUUUUUUUUCCUUCCCUCACACUAUUUAGGCAUACCAAAUGGGUUCAUCUUGAAUUAAUUUCAGUUUGAAAUUCUCAGAAAUCCAGAACGUAUUUGUAUAAACUUAAAUUAAACUCUAAGUACAACCUCUAUUUUUUUUUUAUUGUAACAAUGAGAGUCCAUUUGAUAUACUUCACUGCAGUGUCAAACUUCAAUAAGAAUAUAUAUUUUUUACACAAUUAAAAAAUAAGUUAUGUAUCAUUUGCAGAACACUAUGAUUAAGGAGAUUAUGCUUUCAAAGGAGGUUUUAGGGAGACUAUAAUUUCAAAAUUACAUUUGCUCCUAUUUGAUAUUGAUUACUUGUUUCCUACUUUGAACACAUACCAUAGACCUCUUAAAAUCUGAAUGCCUUUGGUUUAAUCACUUCAUACUGCUCCAUUCUCUUCUUCCUGCCAGGUUCUUUGGAGAGGUGCAGGUAGCCAGGCAUAAAGGUUCAGAGAGCAAAGUUGGGAACAGUAAAUUCUGUUGACUUAACUUCUCUUGACUUUCAGCACACAGAUUUAUCCAUGUAACUCCCAUUAAAAUUAAUGGGAAUCAUGUGACUCAAACCUGUGCAUACUGAGCAGUUUCCUUGGUGCACUGAAGAGUCUGCAUCUAGUCUCUGAGUCCCUAAACAAAAUGAUGAAGGUGCAGUGACAAUAUAUCACUUAAAUAUCACAUGCAUUUACUAUACUGUAGAGCUUUGAAGAAACAUCUGUUUCAAAAACAGCUUUUGCAUCAGAAGUCAAAGGUCCCAUGAAGAGAUUAAUUUAUAUUUCAAAUUUUGGUAUGUUUUUCAUCAUAAUGAUAAAACAGACUUCUGUAUUUGCAAUUUACCCUCUAGCUAUAUAAUUUCUGACUUAAAUAGCC